UUCCAGGAGGACCCCGGAACUAAGAAUCUUCAGUUUAGGGAACUCAAAUAGAAAUGUUGCCCCCGGAACCCUUUACCAGGCGUAGCAAGAAGUCUUUUGCGGAGGAAAAUCCGGUUUCCAGCCCCGCACCGUACAUUGCUUACCAUAUAUGGACUGCUUUGAAAACUAGCCAAUCAACUUGUGCCAACUUUGAAAUUUCCCUAACCCCUUAAAUUUUGCCCCAAACCCUGGCUGGGACGGGGGAGACAGAUUUGAGCCCUGCCUCCUGUCUCCUUAUUGCUACCUCGCAAUAAAGCUCUUUCUUUUCUCAAAAGUUAGUGCCGUAGUAUUGGCUUCUAAGGGCGCCAGGCAGUGAACAUGGUCCGUUCUGGUAAGAAUUUCUGGCGACGGUGAAGGGACCAAGGUCUUGCGAUCGCCUGUCUGAGGCACUGUAGCCCCCGGCUGGGUGUAGGCCCUCGCCACCGACCCUGAGUGGCCACCUAGACUGAAUUUGUCUAGAGGCUCGGCUGUCGGGUUCCUGCUUCCCGCCGCUGCGGCGCUCCAGGCUUCUCUACGUUACUCUCACUUUUGGGGAAAGAAACAGCUCCCGGAUCUUUUGGACAUCCCUGUGCACUGUCUAAACCCAAGGAAUUGCAUCCUCCUCAAAUGUGGAAAAUCACUACCCCGAGGAUCAACUGCAACCCAAGUGGAAUAUGGGCCCUUUGAGGUCCCUCUGGUUACACAUUCUUCAGCCUCGCUCAAAGGAGUUAAACCUUGGAUACAUCACUCCCGAGUAAAAAUUGUACCCAUUUCCAACCAGCACCCACCUUGUGCCCUUUACGGUUCCCAAAUGGGACAUACUCUCCAUGGACAGGAGGGAGGAGGAGGACCCAGCACCAGAGGGGCCUAGAAACCCACUAUGGACUUCUUGGCCUCUAAUUAUAAAUUACUUUUCAAAUAGAAAUAGGACAGGAGUUCCUGCUGUGGCUCAAGGGGAUCAGCUGCAUCUCUGGUGCGCCCAGAUGCAGGUUUGAUUCCCCAGCCCAGAAUAGUGGGUUAAGGAUCCAGCGUUGCCCCAGCUGUGGUGUAGGUCACAACUGCAUCUUGAAUCUGAUCCCUGGCCUGGGAACUCCAUACGCCGCGGGGCGACCAAAAGAGAAAAGAAAAGAAACGGGACAGCUAAGACUCUACCUGGCCAGGAAGAGAAGAGGACAUUUCAAAAGUAGACAGCUUCUGCCCAGAAGUCUCAACCAGGCCUACAUACAUCCGAAUCAAAUCACUAAAAAUGUUAAAAAUAGUGUGUUUUCAUGGAUUCCCAAAGGAAUAAGGUCUGUUUUUGGAGAAAUGUUAAAAUUAGGACUCAGUUUUGUGUAUAUUGGGAUUAACCCCUUUACUCACCAAAUUUUUUACUUAUCGUCUGUCCUGUAUAUUUAAAAAGGCCUCCCAGAUUCACAUGAUGAUUGCCCAAGACUUAAGAGUUCAAGGUGGGACUCAGGAAUAUUUACAAUCCAGUGCAAAAACAAUUUCAUUCCUCUAUGUCCCUAAUCUACGCCCCUAAUCAGCAGGAAGCAGCUAGAGCGGUCGUCGCCCUAUUUCCCUUAAGAUAGAGGAAUGUACAAAGCAAAGGGGGGAAUAGAAACUGCACAUAAAAUGUUGACCUGCUUUCACUGGUUUUGCUUCCUUAAAUAGGCUGUUGUUUAAUCAAACCUUGAGUUAUUUUAUAGAGACAGCAUGGCGCGUGUACAAGAUGGAAGCCCUGGAGGACCCUGGAACCAAGAAUCUUCAAGUCUUUGGAACUCAGACAAUAGAAAUGUUGCUGCUGGAGCCCUUCACCAAGCAAGAAGUUCUUCAGUAAGAAAAACCUGGGAAUUCCCUGGUGGCUCAGCAGGUUAAGGAUCCAGCAUUAUCACUGCUGUGGUGUGGUUUCCAUUUCGGCCCAGGAACUGCUGCCUGCCACAGGCGUGGCCAAGGAAAAGAAAAAUCUGGCUUCUAGCUGCCCAAGUAGCUUGAUUCCAAUCAGCUUCUGACUUUUAAGACUAGCCAAUCAGUUUCUGCCAAGUUUGAAGCUCCCCUCACCCUUUACCUUUUGCCCUGAACACUGGAUAGGGAGACAGAUUUGAGCCCUGCCUCCUGUUUUAUUGACUUCACAGUAAAACUUGCUUUUUUCAAAAACCGGUGCCAUAGCAUUGGCUUCUAUGUGUGUCAGACAGAGAGUGCUUCUUGGUAACAAAAGCCUGAGAAAUGU